rnacentral:rRNA from 1 species
UACGAGGGGGGCGAGCGUUGUUCGGAAUUAUUGGGCGUAAAGGGUGCGUAGGCGGUUUGGUAAGUCUGAUGUGAAAUCUAUGGGCUCAACUCAUAGUCUGCAUCGGAAACUGCCGGGCUUGAGUAUGGGAGAGGUGAGUGGAAUUCCUGGUGUAGCGGUGAAAUGCGUAGAUAUCAGGAGGAACACCUAUAGCGAAGGCAGCUUGCUGGGACGUUACUGACGCUAAGGCGCGAAAGCGUGGGGAGCGAACAGG